rnacentral:rRNA from 1 species
GACGAACGCUGGCGGCGUGCUUAACACAUGCAAGUCGAACGGAAAGGCCCUGCUUUUGUGGGGUGCUCGAGUGGCGAACGGGUGAGUAACACGUGAGUAACCUGCCCUUGACUUUGGGAUAACUUCAGGAAACUUGGGCUAAUACCGGAUAGGAGCUCCUGCUGCAUGGUGGGGGUUGGAAAGUUUCGGCGGUUGGGGAUGGACUCGCGGCUUAUCAGCUUGUUGGGGGGGUAGUGGAUUACCAAGGCUUUGACGGGUAGCCGGGCUGCGAGGGUGAGCGGCCACACUAGGACUGAGAUGCGGCCCAGACUAGUACGGGAGGCAGGGGUGGAGAGUAUAGCACAAUAGGCGGGAGCCUGGUGCGGCAACGCCGCGUGCGGGAAGACGGCAUUGGCGUUGUAAACCGAUUUUCCCUGUGACGAAGCGUGAGUGACGGUAAUGGGUAAAGAAGCACCGGCUAACUACGUG